CAGAUGAAUGGAGAUGGCAUAGAGUGGGAAUAUGAAGAGAUUGCACUGGAGAGGGGAGGAGCAGGACUUGGUUUCAGUAUCGCAGGUGGCACAGAUAACCCACACAUUGAUGACGACCCCGGCAUCUUCAUCACAAAAAUUAUACCAGGGGGCGCUGCUGCAGCAGACGGAAGGUUGAGGAUAAAUGACAUUGUGGUCAAGGUCAACCAGACCAGCGUAUUGGAGGUGCCGCAUGCGGAUGCCGUGGAUGCUCUGAAGAAAGCCGGGAACAGUGUCACUUUGGUGAGA